CAGCCGCCGCGGUAAUACGAAGGGUGCAAGCGUUAAUCGGAAUUACUGGGCGUAAAGCGUGCGUAGGCGGUUUGUUAAGUCUGUUGUGAAAUCCCCGGGCUCAACCUGGGAAUGGCAAUGGAUACUGGCAAGCUAGAGUGUGUCAGAGGAUGGUGGAAUUCCCGGUGUAGCGGUGAAAUGCGUAGAGAUCGGGAGGAACAUCUGUGGCGAAGGCGGCCAUCUGGGACAACACUGACGCUGAGGCACGAAAGCGUGGGGAGCAAACAGGAUUAGAUACCCCCGUAGUCCCUGUCUCUUAUAA
rnacentral:rRNA from 1 species